UUUUAUUCAAAAUCCCAAAGCAAAACAGAACAAAAGAGUUCUCAAUAAAGCAAAGCAAACAUCUGGCUAAUUAGGGUUCGAGAGGCAAAGAAAAGAGAAUGGAGGACGAAAACAGAAACACAGAGAGGAUGAUGCCCAUGGAAAAGAGGGAGAAGGCGACGUAAACAAACAAAAAACGAAUGCUCGCAACCCUCAAAUGGCCGACACCGCCGCCACUGACUCGGAACAUAAAAACAAUCAGGAUUAUAGACAACGAGGAACAAUCGUUGCAAACAUCAAGCACAAGUGCAUUUGAAGCUUCGGAGUACAAAUGGAAAAAAAAAAAAAGAAACCAAGAAAAAAGUCAAAGCUAGAGAAGAGGAUGAAAAAAUUAAACAAGAAAAUUGGCAAACUGACUUUUGCAGUUGAAAAACUAACACAUAUCUUCAGUUUGAGUAAGUUUGACAUGUUCAAGUAAUUGACAGUUUCAGAAAUAGAUUCUGGAUAUUUUAAUCUCCUAUUUUUGUAUAUUAAUAUUUGCUGGGACAAUUUAUUUGGUAUGCUAGGUAUUAGUUUUUUAAUGGUUGUAUUGUAUGAUGUUUUUAUUUGUGUUUUAAGUAUCAAUGAAAGAGUAGUAAGUAGGAAGUUGAGCUAA